GACGAAGGGGGCUAGCGUUGUUCGGAAUUACUGGGCGUAAAGCGAGUGUAGGUGGUUGUCCAAGUUGGAUGUGAAAGCCCUCGGCUCAACCGAGGAAGUGCGCCCGAAACUGCAGAGCUUGAGUGCCGGAGAGGGUGGCGGAAUUCCCCAAGUAGAGGUGAAAUUCGUAGAUAUGGGGAGGAACACCAGUGCGAAGGCGGCCACCUGGACGGUUACGACGCUGAGACGCGAAAGCGUGGGGAGCAAACAGG
rnacentral:rRNA from 1 species